rnacentral:rRNA from 1 species
UACGAAGGGGGCUAGCGUUGCUCGGAAUCACUGGGCGUAAAGCGCACGUAGGCGGCUUUUUAAGUCAGGGGUGAAAUCCUGGAGCUCAACUCCAGAACUGCCUUUGAUACUGAGAAGCUUGAGUUCGGGAGAGGUGAGUGGAACUGCGAGUGUAGAGGUGAAAUUCGUAGAUAUUCGCAAGAACACCAGUGGCGAAGGCGGCUGACUGGUCCGGAUCUGACGCUGAGGCGCGAAAGCGUGGGGAGCAAACAGG